AGCCAGCAUGGCGCAGUGGUUUGAGCAUUAGAUUACAACUCUGGAGACCAGGGUUCAGUUCUCAGCUUGGUUA
rnacentral:tRNA from 1 species